CAUGCAAAGUGGUGCACCUCCAACUGGCUAGUUAUAACUCAUCUCCAUGGCUUUUUAUUUGCAGAUGGUUUGUGAAUGAACAGGUCAAUCCACACACAACUCAACCAACUGCAUUUCUUGGAUGCUGCUGUGAGGUGUGCUGCAGACUGUGGCAGAAGAAACACAGAAUAACUAAGCCUGACCUCAGCUUUGGAAUAAUUGGAAAUCAUCCUUUCACUCUUGAACUGCGAUAAACAGUCAAAUAUCUCCUGCUACGAGAGAUACCAAAACGUAUUUUGGGGUGAGCAAGGAGACGGGGAUAUACGAUUAACACCACCUUACACAUCCAUUCCCGCUCAAGGAUCCAACGGUUCUCAGUUGGGUAUUGUCUUGGCUUUGCUGAAGUGUUUCCGAACUGCAAGCAUUGGAAAACACUGCUCUCUUGUGGUUGAAGCGAGAAAAUAACAGAUGGAAAAGACAAAAGGGUUUUUCUGUUUUUUCUCUUCAAUGCUAGAUUUACUACUAUCAACUUAAAUGCAGUACAAAAUGUAGUGUUACUUGUUUGAGAAUAUUCUCAAUAUAUUUUGGAAUUCCUAAUAUUUAAAUUUAAUAUUUUUUUCUUUGUUACCACGGAC
rnacentral:lncRNA from 1 species